rnacentral:rRNA from 1 species
GCAGGCUGAAAUUCGCCUGUAUGAAGCCGGAAUUGCUAGUAAUGGCAGGUCAGCAUACUGCCGUGAAUACGUUCCCGGGCCUUGUACACACCGCCCGUCACACCAUGAGAGUUGGCAAUACCCAACGUACGUGAUCUAACCCGCAAGGGAGGAAGCGUCCUAAGGUAGGGUCAGCGAUUGGGGUGAAGUCGUAACAAGGUACC